rnacentral:rRNA from 1 species
AGUCGAACGAUGAAGCCCAGCUUGCUGGGUGGAUUAGUGGCGAACGGGUGAGUAACACGUGAGUAACCUGCCCUUGACUCUGGGAUAAGCACUGGAAACGGUGUCUAAUACCGGAUAUAUCAGCUGGCCGCAUGGUCUGGUUGUGGAAAGAAUUUUGGUCAAGGAUGGACUCGCGGCCUAUCAGGUAGUUGGUGAGGUAAUGGCUCACCAAGCCUACGACGGGUAGCCGGCCUGAGAGGGUGACCGGCCACACUGGGACUGAGACACGGCCCAGACUCCUACGGGAGGCAGCAGUGGGGAAUAUUGCACAAUGGGCGAAAGCCUGAUGCAGCAACGCCGCGUGAGGGAUGACGGCCUUCGGGUUGUAAACCUCUUUUAGUAGGGAAGAAGCGAAAGUGACGGUACCUGCAGAAAAAGCACCGGCUAACUACGUGCCAGCAGCCGCGGUAAUACGUAGGGUGCAAGCGUUGUCCGGAAUUAUUGGGCGUAAAGAGCUCGUAGGCGGUUUGUCGCGUCUGCUGUGAAAACUGGAGGCUCAACCUCCAGCCUGCAGUGGGUACGGGCAGACUAGAGUGCGGUAGGGGAGAUUGGAAUUCCUGGUGUAGCGGUGGAAUGCGCAGAUAUCAGGAGGAACACCGAUGGCGAAGGCAGAUCUCUGGGCCGUAACUGACGCUGAGGAGCGAAAGCAUGGGGAGCGAACAGGAUUAGAUACCCUGGUAGUCCAUGCCGUAAACGUUGGGAACUAGAUGUGGGGGCCAUUCCACGGUCUCCGUGUCGCAGCUAACGCAUUAAGUUCCCCGCCUGGGGAGUACGGCCGCAAGGCUAAAACUCAAGGAAUUGACGGGGGCCCGCACAAGCGGCGGAGCAUGCGGAUUAAUUCGAUGCAACGCGAAGAACCUUACCAAGGCUUGACAUAUACGAGAACGGGCCAGAAAUGGUCAACUCUUUGGACACUCGUAAACAGUGGUGCAUGGUUGUCGUCAGCUCGUGUCGUGAGAUGUUGGGUUAAGUCCCGCAACGAGCGCAACCCUCGUUCUAUGUUGCCAGCACGUUAUGGUGGGAACUCAUAGGAGACUGCCGGGGUCAACUCGGAGGAAGGUGGGGAUGACGUCAAAUCAUCAUGCCCCUUAUGUCUUGGGCUUCACGCAUGCUACAAUGGCCGGUACAAAGGGCUGCAAUACCGUAAGGUGGAGCGAAUCCCAAAAAGCCGGUCUCAGUUCGGAUUGAGGUCUGCAACUCGACCUCAUGAAGUCGGAGUCGCUAGUAAUCGCAGAUCAGCAACGCUGCGGUGAAUACGUUCCCGGGCCUUGUACACACCGCCCGUCAAGUCAUGAAAGUCGGUAACACCCAACGCCAGUGGCCUAA